ensembl:lncRNA
AUGGCGCCGCGGAUGGCAGCCUCGGUACUUCGCUCUCUAGUACUUUGUUUGUUUUUGUCCGUUUAUUAUGUUUUCGGUGGUAUUUCACCAGCAACCUUUUCCAGAGAGGAGCUCUUAAUCAUCCGGCAUACCUCUACAGGAUUUUUUUCUCCAGUUUUCACUAACUCAGCAAGUUUUAUUGAAAUCCUGGUCGGAGGAGCAACGGUUCUCCUUGGAAUCUGCCGGAGACGCACACGGGGGAAACAAGCAGGAGCGCUUGUGAAAUUAAGGAAGCGGGGACUACGCACCUCGCUUCCAGCCAUUCACCUGGCAAACGUCCGGUCCCUGGUAUAUAAGAUGGAUGAGCUGUUGCUUCUCAAUCAAACCAACUCAGACUUUUACAGAUCCGCUGCCCUGUGUUUCACCGAAACCUGGCUCUCUGAACGCAUCCCGGAAAGCGCACUUCAGCUGCCCGGUUUCCAACUCAUCCGGGCGGACCGCAACACAGAGCUUUCGGGGAAAAUGAAAGGCGGAGGAAUCUGCUUCUACUUAAACGUUGGUUGGUGUACAGAUGUUACAGUGCUGGAAAAGACGUGUAGCCCUCACUUAGAGUCUCUCUUCAUAAACUGUAAACCCUUCUAUUCUCCGCGGGAGUUCUCCUCAUUUGUUAUGGUUGGUGUUUACAUACCACCACAAGCGUGCGUCGCAGACGCGCUGCAACAGCUGGCCGACCAGAUAACGGACAUAGAGAAAAAACACCCGGACUCUCUCGUUAUUAUUGUUGGGGAUUUUAACAACGCCAAACUCAACCAGGAACUCCCUAAAUACAGACAGCAUAUCAAGAUUCCCACCAGAGACAAAAACACACUGGACCACUGUUACACAGUCUUGAAGGACGCCUAUCGUGCUGUUUCCCGGGCAGCUCUAGGACUCUCCGACCACUGUCUGCUUCAUCUCAUCCCAACCUACAGGCAGAAACUAAAAACUUCUAAACCUGUGGCAAAGACUUUAAAAAAAUGGACAAGGGAAUCAAAGCUGGAGUUGCAGGCUUGCUUUGACUGCACCAACUGGAGCGUUUUUGAAGCUGCAGCUACAGACCUAAACGACCUCACGGACACUGUAACAUCUUACAUCCGUUUUUGCGAGGACCUCUGUGUGCAGACCAAGACCUUCUGCACAUACAACAACAGCAAAGCUUGGUUCACUCUUAAUCUUAGGAAGCUGCGUCAAGCUAAAGAGGAGGCCCAUAGUAGUGGGGACCAGGACCUAUAUAAGCAGGCCCGGAACAAGUUGACAAAGGAGAUCAAGGUAGCCAAAAUAAGCUACAGUGAGAAACUAAGAUAUAGCCUCUCCGCGAAUGACCCUGCAUCAGUUUGGAAAGGCCUGCAACAAAUUACAAACUACAAGAGACCAUCCCCCCACCCUGCAGGAAAUCCCAGACUGGCAGACGACCUGAAUGACUUUUACUGCAGGUUUGAAGAGCACCCAUUGUCACACCCCUCACGCACAAAAGGUUUUCCCUCAUCACCCAUCCCCCUCCCCCCACCUGCACUAACUAUCUGCGAGAAGGAAGUGUGCCGGCUCUUUCAGAAGCAGAAGAUCAAGAAGGCUCCAGGACCUGAUGGUGUGUCCCCCUCUUGUCUGCAAGUCUGUGCUGAACAGCUGGCGCCAAUCUUCACGCGGAUCUUUAACUGGUCCCUGGAGCUGUGUGAAGUGCCCUCCUGCUUUAAAUGCUCCACCAUCAUCCCAGUCCCCAAAAAAACCUCCAUCACAGGACUAAAUGACUACAGGCCUGUCGCCCUGACGUCUGUGGUCAUGAAAUCCUUUGAGAGACUGGUGUUGAGCCACCUGAAGGACAUUAUAGGUCCCCUGCUGGACCCCCUGCAGUUUGCCUACAGGGCAAACAGGUCGGUGGAUGAUGCUGUCAACAUGGGACUGCAAUACAUACUGCACCACCUCGACUACCCAGGGACGUAUGCCAGGAUCCUGUUUGUGGACUUCAGCUCGGCGUUCAACACCAUCGUCCCUGAAAUCCUUCAUCAGAAGCUCACCCAGUUCAAAGUGCCUGUCACCACCUGUCAGUGGAUCAUCAGCUUCCUGAUUGACAGGCAGCAGCAUGUCAGACUGGUCCAUCAGCACUGGCGCCCCACAGGGGUGUGUCCUCUCCCCGCUGCUCUUCUCCAUCUACACCAAUGA